UCGAAUCCCUGGCAAUAGUCUACAGAGUAUUUUGUUCCUUCCCCUCCAUUUUCUCUCUCUUCCCCAGAAAAUUAGAGCUCAGAGGAUUCAUCACACUGCUUCACUCUCUAUACACAUUUGCAUGGGGGGAGGAAGUGAGGAAAAGCAGAAGGGAGGCAUACCGCUUAACAUUGACGAGUUAUUACGGGACCGCGAAGACGAGCCUCCGCCGGAGCUGGUGGUAGUCUCCACCGCUGCGGUGAAACCGCCGUCAACGGUGAUGGACGACGAUGAACGUAGGGACGACCUACAGGAAUUGUCGGAUGAAACGCUCAGGGUUAAGAUUGAGAGGACCAAUAGACUGCUAUCCUGCAAAAAUUUGCCCGAUGGUGGCGAGAAGUUGAGACACUUCAUCAAGCGCCUCCGGAAUGAACUGGAAAGGAGGCAACGUGACCAUCUCCGAAAGGAAGUUGAUAAACAAGAAGGGCAUGACCACAUUGGGGCAGGUUUAUCUAAUGGCUUCAUGCAACCGGCUCCAUCAUCUUCCACACCAAAUUCACAAUCUUCAUUUGCUGCUUGUUUUUCAAAGCGUUUGGAACCAGGAAACCAUAAGGUGGGCAAUGCCUUUGAAAGCGAAAUGAGUACUCUAAAUCCUUGUGACAGCAAAAGGGUACCCAAAAGACAGAUUCCGCCAAGGAGAAGACAAGAGAGAGGGUUGUCUUCACGCAGUGCAUCUUUUAAAGCUCGUCAGCGACUAUCUAAUACUGGUUUGAAAAGAAGUAUUUCUUCUACUACAUCACAUUCUGAGGAAGACUUCUACAGCAGUGUGACAAAGAAGAAUAAUUCUUCAGAAGUCCAAGGUUCAAAUAGGCCAAGGUGCAAAAAUGGGGAGACUGUUGUUCUUGUGGAUGAGGAGGAACAAGAGGCCAAGCAGAUGGAUCAAUUGGACUUUAUGGAUGAAAGCACCAAAGAUUUGAAGCUGUACUAUCCUUCUAGAGAUGAUCCAGAUCCAAUUGAGCUUUGCUAUUCAGACAUGGAAUGCCUUGCUCCUGAAGCAUAUUUGUCAUCAACCAUAAUGAACUUUUAUAUCCGAUAUCUGCAGCAGACCAAGUCUUCACCAGAUAGAGGAGGAUGCAACUAUCAUUUUUUUAAUACAUAUUUUUACAACAAGCUUAAAGAGGCUAUGCUGAACAAGCAGAAUGACAAGGAAUCUUCCUUUGUCAAGUUAAGAAGAUGGUGGAAAGGCGUAAAUCUGUUUGAGAAAGCAUACCUAUUUUUACCAAUUCAUGAAAGUCUUCAUUGGAGCUUGGUGAUUAUCUGCAUACCUGAUAAGGAAGAUGAAUCUGGACCAAUUGUACUUCAUUUGGAUUCACUAAUGUUCCACUGUAGCAAGCCAAUAUUUAACAACACCAGAAAGUUUUUGAUAGAGGAAUGGAAAAUCUUGAAAGAUGAAGGACCACAUUUCCCCAUUGCAGAUAAAAUAUGGGAGAAACUCCCUAGAAGAAUUGAGGAAAAAGAAAUUGAGGUUCCUCAACAAAAGAAUGACUAUGACUGCGGUCCCUUUGUACUUUUCUUUAUAGAACGGUUUAUUGAUGAAGUUUCUGAGAGGCUGAAAAGGAAGGAUCUAGAUAUGUUUGGAAAGAAGUGGUUCAAGCCUCAUGAAGCUUCUAAUUUGAGGCAAAAACUGAAAAGCAUACUUGCAAAGGAAUUCAAAAGAGCCUCAAAGGCAUUGAAAAAUGGUACUGAUGAUUUAACAUGAUAUCAAUCCUAGCCUUGCCAUGACUAACAGGUUUUGACAACAAUAGGUGACUUGUAGCUAGUAUUCAUUCACAUAUAAGAUGGAGAUUUUUGGAACAGCUCUGUAUAGUCAUUCCCUAAACCGCAAAGAAUUGGAGUUUCCCCCCUGCCUCUCAAUUCAGAAGUCCAGGAAGAAAGCAGAAGCAAUCUUGGGAGCUGAGGUUGAAUCUCUAUCCUUGGAUGCAUUGAUGGCUUCCAACUUGUCUUCUCCACAAUAACAUUAUAUAUUCAUCUUGGUCUUUUUCUCAAGUUUGAGUCCCAACACAUCACCUUUACAUUGGCAAAACUUCUCUCCCUAAAAUUUAAAGAAGACAUCUAUACUAGUGUACUAGAGUUUUAGAGCUAACAUCCUUUAAUUUGCAUAAAAAAGGAAUACCAUCUCAAAUUGGGUAAUUAAGGCUGGGAGACAUCACGUAUAAGUUCAUGUGAAAUCGAUUGGGUUGAAUCUUGCAGUUAGAGGCUGUGAUUGGUUGUAGUAGCUAUUGUAUUCAAGUUUUGUACAAAACUAAUAUAUAUAGUGAAAAUUUCUCCUAAAGAGAGAACAUUAGACUAGCUAGGGGAGUUAUAGUUUUUGGCAAACCACUAUCAACUUCCUUUUGUUAUUUACUUUAUUACACUUUUGAUCAAUUAUAUUUACUUUCGACAGUAA